rnacentral:rRNA from 1 species
CAAAGGAGCAAUCCGCUGAAAGAUGGGCUCGCGUCCGAUUAGGUAGUUGGUGAGGUAACGGCCCACCAAGCCGACGAUCGGUAGCCGGACUGAGAGGUUGGACGGCCACAUUGGGACUGAGACACGGCCCAGACUCCUACGGGAGGCAGCAGUAAGGGAUAUUGGUCAAUGGGGGAAGCCCUGAACCAGCAACGCCGCGUGAGGGAAGACGGUUUUCGGAUUGUAAACCUCUGUCCUCUGUGAAGAUGAUGACGGUAGCAGAGGAGGAAGCUCCGGCUAACUACGUGCCAGCAGCCGCGGUAAUACGUAGGGAGCGAGCGUUGUCCGGAUUUACUGGGUGUAAAGGGUGCGUAGGCGGCUGUGCAAGUCAGUAGUGAAAUCCAUGGGCUUAACCCAUGAACCGCUAUUGAAACUGCACAGCUUGAGUGAAGUAGAGGUAGGCGGAAUUCCCGGUGUAGCGGUGAAAUGCGUAGAGAUCGGGAGGAACACCAGUGGCGAAGGCGGCCUACUGGGCUUUAACUGACGCUGAGGCACGAAAGCGUGGGUAGCAAACAGGAUUAGAUACCCUGGUAGUCCACGCUGUAAACGAUGAUUACUAGGUGUGGGGGGACUGAACCCUUCC